rnacentral:rRNA from 1 species
UGGGGAAUAUUGCAUAAUGGGCGAAAGCCUGAUGCAGCAACGCCGCGUGAGUGAUGAAGGCCUUCGGGUUGUAAAGCUCUGUCUUCUGGGACGAUAAUGACGGUACCAGAGGAGGAAGCCACGGCUAACUACGUGCCAGCAGCCGCGGUAAUACGUAGGUGGCAAGCGUUGUCCGGAUUUACUGGGCGUAAAGGAUGCGUAGGCGGAUACUUAAGUCAGAUGUGAAAAUCCCGGGCUUAACUUGGGAACUGCAUUUGAAACUGGGUAUCUAGAGUGCGGGAGAGGAAAGUGGAAUUCCUAGUGUAGCGGUGAAAUGCGUAGAGAUUAGGAAGAACACCAGUGGCGAAGGCGACUUUCUGGACCGUAACUGACGCUGAGGCAUGAAAGCGUGGGGAGCAAACA